rnacentral:rRNA from 1 species
GAUGAACGCUGGCGGCGUGCCUAAUACGUGCAAGUCGAGCGAACGGACGAGAAGCUUGCUUCUCUGAUGUUAGCGGCGGACGGGUGAGUAACACGUGGAUAACCUACCUAUAAGACUGGGAUAACUUCGGGAAACCGGAGCUAAUACCGGAUAAUAUUUUGAACCGCAUGGUUCAAAAGUGAAAGACGGUCUUGCUGUCACCUAUAGAUGGAUCCGCGCUGCAUUAGCUAGUUGGUAAGGUAACGGCUUACCAAGGCAACGAUGCAUAGCCGACCUGAGAGGGUGAUCGGCCACACUGGAACUGAGACACGGUCCAGACUCCUACGGGAGGCAGCAGUAGGGAAUCUUCCGCAAUGGGCGAAAGCCUGACGGAGCAACGCCGCGUGAGUGAUGAAGGUCUUCGGAUCGUAAAACUCUGUUAUUAGGGAAGAACAUAUGUGUAAGUAACUGUGCACAUCUUGACGGUACCUAAUCAGAAAGCCACGGCUAACUACGUG